UACAGAGGUCUCGAGCGUUGUUCGGAUUCAUUGGGCGUAAAGGGUGCGUAGGCGGCGCGGUAAGUCGGGUGUGAAAUCUCGGAGCUUAACUCCGAAACUGCAUUCGAUACUGCCGUGCUUGAGGACUGGAGAGGAGACUGGAAUUUACGGUGUAGCGGUGAAAUGCGUAGAUAUCGUAAGGAAGACCAGUGGCGAAGGCGGGUCUCUGGACAGUUCCUGACACUGAGGCACGAAGGCCAGGGGAGCAAACGGG
rnacentral:rRNA from 1 species